GUCUACGGGGGGCAGCAGUGGGGAAUAUUGGGCAAUGGGCGCAAGCCUGACCCAGCAACGCCGCGUGAAGGAAGAAGGCUUUCGGGUUGUAAACUUCUUUUAUGAGGGACGAAAGAAAUGACGGUACCUCAUGAAUAAGCCACGGCUAACUACGUGCCAGCAGCCGCGGUAAUACGUAGGUGGCAAGCGUUAUCCGGAUUUACUGGGUGUAAAGGGCGUGUAGGCGGGAGAGCAAGUCAGAUGUGAAAACUACAGGCUUAACCUGUAGCCUGCAUUUGAAACUGUUCUUCUUGAGUGAUGGAGAG
rnacentral:rRNA from 1 species